GUCGCCCUCCACCCGCCUGCAGAAAGCCCACUCCCUACAGUCACCUUGACAUUGCUCACCUGCCUGGGCCUCAGCCCAUGACCAAGGAAACUUUUGCCCUCCCUCCCCAGGAGCUCACUUACAGGCCAUCUUCAAAGGUACUGCCUACCUGAACCUGCCUUGUCCCAAAGGACACACUUCAAUCUGGGGAGAGUUUAAAGUUGUAGACAUAUCCAUUUUCAUUUAAGGAAUAUGAAGAUCAGGGAGGCAAAAUAUAGAGAUAUAGAGAGGAAAAACUGAGAGAUGAUCAGAAAUUCAGACGCAUUCGGAAUGAGCACCCUUGACCAUACCAAGAACAAAGACUCUAUAAAAAUGUGAAGUCUUAUUAUUGUUCAUCCAUGUUCUACGUGGGAUCCACCCAAGACAUUGAAAACUGUACAGAACAGGGUGAAAUUGAAUCAGAUCAUUCUGUACUCCUAACAAGGUCCACCCCAUGAGAGACUUGCAGCAGAAUUAAUGACACUGUAUAUUUUCCUCUACUAACAACAACAAGAACAACAACAACAACAAUCUAGGAAAAUCAAAGGCAGCCCGACAUGGAAAAAAACACAAAAUGAAUAUUUGGAUUACAAAUAGUGUGAUGGGAAGAACACACUGCCAAAAGUCCACCUAGUAUGUUGAAAUUACUGUUUCUAGCACAUAUAAGAUUUGCUGCCAAUUUGUACUGACUUCUGAAAAAUACUUUAUCCAUUGUCUUCUUACAUCAGAAUCAACUCCCUAAAUUCUUCAGCACUGGCUUUGUAAACUGGUUUCUGGUCUUUGUUUCUGUCAACUUACCUAUAAAAGGAUACAAAAACUGAAGAACAGAGAGGAGCAGAUACCCUGGAAAGCCGAAAGUUUUAUUGACCAAAGACUGAGUCUCGGAAUGUUUUGAUUGUGGAGUUUAUAGAGUUCAGGCUGAAGUUUUAUAAAAAUAACUUGCAGCAGCAUGGAGGACUGAUGAGAAAGUAGACAGAUGCUGGAAGCAGGAAAACUGAACAGCAGGUCACUGGCCAAGGAGAAUCAAAGAGCUAGAUGCUGAGAAUAAUGCAGCCAUAACGUGAAAUCUUUUUGAGACCACUCACUCUGGGAGAAAGCAACUGGCUAUGUCAUGAGGAAAUUGAAACCACCUAUGGAGAAAGGCCCACAUGAAUUCUGUAAGUCUGCUACGGUGACAUUUCUGGUUAGGAGUCAGAGUGGAUGGGACACUGAGCAAUAAGGCAAAGUUGGACAUCCCAAAGAUGGCAUAGAUAAACAUGACCAGGAAGAGCAGGAGGCCGAUGUUAAACAACGCAGGAAGGGACAUCAUCAAAGCAAAGAGCAGCGUGCGGAUCCCCUUUGCUCCUUUGAUCAGACGUAGGAUUCGGCCAAUCCUGGCAAGACGGAUCACUCGGAACAAGCACGCGGAACACAAUCAGGAAGGAGUGGAAGAAGUCGUUCAUGUGCCACCGUGGGAGCGUACAGUCAUCAUUGAUCUUGCAGACACAUUCUUUGUAGCUCUUACCAAAGAGCUGCAUGCCGACCACAGCAAAAAUGAAGACGAUGAUGGCCAACACCAAGGUG
rnacentral:lncRNA from 1 species